GAUUAAGUUAUUAAGGGUGCACGGUGGAUGCCUUGGCACUAGAAGCCGAUGAAGGACGUUACUAACGACGAUAUGCUUUGGGGAGCUGUAAGUAAGCUUUGAUCCAGAGAUUUCCGAAUGGGGAAACCCAGCAUGAGUUAUGUCAUGUUAUCGAUAUGUGAAUACAUAGCAUAUCAGAAGGCACACCCGGAGAACUGAAACAUCUUAGUACCCGGAGGAAGAGAAAGAAAAUUCGAUUCCCUUAGUAGCGGCGAGCGAAACGGGAAGAGCCCAAACCAACAAGCUUGCUUGUUGGGGUUGUAGGACACUCUAUACGGAGUUACAAAGGACGACAUUAGACGAAUCAUCUGGAAAGAUGAAUCAAAGAAGGUAAUAAUCCUGUAGUCGAAAAUGUUGUCUCUCUUGAGUGGAUCCUGAGUACGACGGAGCACGUGAAAUUCCGUCGGAAUCUGGGAGGACCAUCUCCUAAGGCUAAAUACUCUCUAGUGACCGAUAGUGAACCAGUACCGUGAGGGAAAGGUGAAAAGCACCCCGGAAGGGGAGUGAAAUAGAACCUGAAACCGUGUGCUUACAAGUAGUCAGAGCCCGUUAAUGGGUGAUGGCGUGCCUUUUGUAGAAUGAACCGGCGAGUUACGAUUUGAUGCAAGGUUAAGCAGUAAAUGUGGAGCCGUAGCGAAAGCGAGUCUGAAUAGGGCGUUUAGUAUUUGGUCGUAGACCCGAAACCAGGUGAUCUACCCUUGGUCAGGUUGAAGUUCAGGUAACACUGAAUGGAGGACCGAACCGACUUACGUUGAAAAGUGAGCGGAUGAACUGAGGGUAGCGGAGAAAUUCCAAUCGAACCUGGAGAUAGCUGGUUCUCUCCGAAAUAGCUUUAGGGCUAGCCUCAAGUGAUGAUUAUUGGAGGUAGAGCACUGUUUGGACGAGGGGCCCCUCUCGGGUUACCGAAUUCAGACAAACUCCGAAUGCCAAUUAAUUUAACUUGGGAGUCAGAACAUGGGUGAUAAGGUCCGUGUUCGAAAGGGAAACAGCCCAGACCACCAGCUAAGGUCCCAAAAUAUAUGUUAAGUGGAAAAGGAUGUGGCGUUGCCCAGACAACUAGGAUGUUGGCUUAGAAGCAGCCAUCAUUUAAAGAGUGCGUAAUAGCUCACUAGUCGAGUGACACUGCGCCGAAAAUGUACCGGGGCUAAACAUAUUACCGAAGCUGUGGAUUGUCCUUUGGACAAUGGUAGGAGAGCGUUCUAAGGGCGUUGAAGCAUGAUCGUAAGGACAUGUGGAGCGCUUAGAAGUGAGAAUGCCGGUGUGAGUAGCGAAAGACGGGUGAGAAUCCCGUCCACCGAUUGACUAAGGUUUCCAGAGGAAGGCUCGUCCGCUCUGGGUUAGUCGGGUCCUAAGCUGAGGCCGACAGGCGUAGGCGAUGGAUAACAGGUUGAUAUUCCUGUACCACCUAUAAUCGUUUUAAUCGAUGGGGGGGACGCAGUAGGAUAGGCGAAGCGUGCGAUUGGAUUGCACGUCUAAGCAGUAAGGCUGAGUAUUAGGCAAAUCCGGUACUCGUUAAGGCUGAGCUGUGAUGGGGAGAAGACAUUGUGUCUUCGAGUCGUUGAUUUCACACUGCCGAGAAAAGCCUCUAGAUAGAAAAUAGGUGCCCGUACCGCAAACCGACACAGGUAGUCAAGAUGAGAAUUCUAAGGUGAGCGAGCGAACUCUCGUUAAGGAACUCGGCAAAAUGACCCCGUAACUUCGGGAGAAGGGGUGCUCUUUAGGGUUAACGCCCAGAAGAGCCGCAGUGAAUAGGCCCAAGCGACUGUUUAUCAAAAACACAGGUCUCUGCUAAACCGUAAGGUGAUGUAUAGGGGCUGACGCCUGCCCGGUGCUGGAAGGUUAAGAGGAGUGGUUAGCUUCUGCGAAGCUACGAAUCGAAGCCCCAGUAAACGGCGGCCGUAACUAUAACGGUCCUAAGGUAGCGAAAUUCCUUGUCGGGUAAGUUCCGACCCGCACGAAAGGCGUAACGAUUUGGGCACUGUCUCAACGAGAGACUCGGUGAAAUCAUAGUACCUGUGAAGAUGCAGGUUACCCGCGACAGGACGGAAAGACCCCGUGGAGCUUUACUGUAGCCUGAUAUUGAAAUUCGGCACAGCUUGUACAGGAUAGGUAGGAGCCUUUGAAACGUGAGCGCUAGCUUACGUGGAGGCGCUGGUGGGAUACUACCCUAGCUGUGUUGGCUUUCUAACCCGCACCACUUAUCGUGGUGGGAGACAGUGUCAGGCGGGCAGUUUGACUGGGGCGGUCGCCUCCUAAAAGGUAACGGAGGCGCUCAAAGGUUCCCUCAGAAUGGUUGGAAAUCAUUCAUAGAGUGUAAAGGCAUAAGGGAGCUUGACUGCGAGACCUACAAGUCGAGCAGGGUCGAAAGACGGACUUAGUGAUCCGGUGGUUCCGCAUGGAAGGGCCAUCGCUCAACGGAUAAAAGCUACCCCGGGGAUAACAGGCUUAUCUCCCCCAAGAGUUCACAUCGACGGGGAGGUUUGGCACCUCGAUGUCGGCUCAUCGCAUCCUGGGGCUGUAGUCGGUCCCAAGGGUUGGGCUGUUCGCCCAUUAAAGCGGUACGCGAGCUGGGUUCAGAACGUCGUGAGACAGUUCGGUCCCUAUCCGUCGUGGGCGUAGGAAAUUUGAGAGGAGCUGUCCUUAGUACGAGAGGACCGGGAUGGACAUACCUCUGGUGUACCAGUUGUCGUGCCAACGGCAUAGCUGGGUAGCUAUGUGUGGACGGGAUAAGUGCUGAAAGCAUCUAAGCAUGAAGCCCCCCUCAAGAUGAGAUUUCCCAACUUCGGUUAUAAGAUC
rnacentral:rRNA from 1 species